rnacentral:rRNA from 1 species
AAACUAACUAGGAUGCCUUCAGUAACGGCGAGCGAAGCAGGCAUAGCUCAAAUUUGUAAUCUGGCGUCUUUGGCGUCCGAGUUGUAUUUUCUAGAAGCGAGUUCGGCGACAGCUCCUACCCAAGUCCGUUGGAACGCGGCGUCAUGGAGGGUGAGAAUCCCGUGAAUGGUAGGAUGUCUGCUGCUAUGUGAACCGCCUUCGAAGAGUCGAGUUGUUUGGGAAUGCAGCUCUAAAUGGGAGGUAAAUUUCUUCUAAAGCUAAAUAUUGGCCAGAGACCGAUAGCGAACAAGUAGAGUGAUCGAAAGAUGAAAAGAACUUUGAAAAGAGAGUUAAACAGUACGUGAAAUUGUUGAAAGGGAAGCGCUUGAGAUCAGACUUCCUGUCUAAACUGUCCUUGCUUUUGCUUGGAAUCACAGUUUAGGCGUGGAGGCCAGCAUGAGUUUUGACGGCCGGACAAAGGCUUUGGGAAGGUAGCUCCUCUCGAGGAGUGUUAUAGCCCAGAGUGUAAUACGGCCAGUUGGGACUGAGGACCGCGGCUUUGCCUAGGAUGCUGGCGUAAUGGUCUUAAGCGAC